rnacentral:rRNA from 1 species
UCCAGUCGCAAGACCGGUGAAGACCUAGUGGCGAACGGGUGAGUAACACGUGAGGAACCUGCCCCGAAGACCGGGAUAACCCACCGAAAGGUGAGCUAAUACCGGAUACCUUCACGACGUCUCAUGGCGAUGUGAAGAAAUGGAUUCCGCUUCGGGAGGGUCUCGCGGCCUAUCAGCUAGUUGGUGAGGUAACGGCUCACCAAGGCGACGACGGGUAGCUGUUCUGAGAGGAAGAUCAGCCACACUGGGACUGAGACACGGCCCAGACUCCUACGGGAGGCAGCAGUGGGGAAUCUUGCGCAAUGGGCGAAAGCCUGACGCAGCGACGCCGCGUGCGGGAAGACGGCCUUCGGGUUGUAAACCGCUUUCAGCAGGGACGAAAAUGACGGUACCUGCAGAAGAAGCUCCGGCCAACUACGUGCCAGCAGCCGCGGUAAGACGUAGGGGGCGAGCGUUGUCCGGAAUUAUUGGGCGUAAAGGGCUCCUAGGUUGUUCAGUAAGUCGACUGUGAAAAUCCAAGGCUCAACCUUGGGACGCCAGUCGAUACUGCUGUGACUCGAGUUCGGUAGAGGAGUGUGGAAUUCCUGGUGUAGCGGUGAAAUGCGCAGAUAUCAGGAGGAACACCAACGGCGAAGGCAGCACUCUGGGCCGAUACUGACACUGAAGAGCGAAAGCAUGGGGAGCAAACAGGAUUAGAUACCCUGGUAGUCCAUGCCGUAAACGUUGGGCACUAGGUGUGGGGUUC